rnacentral:rRNA from 1 species
UGAGGAAUAUUGGUCAAUGGGCGAGAGCCUGAACCAGCCAAGUCGCGUGAGGGAAGACGGUCCUAUGGAUUGUAAACCUCUUUUGCCGGGGAGCAAAAAGCGGUACGUGUACCGCAUCGAGAGUACCCGGAGAAAAAGCAUCGGCUAACUCCGUGCCAGCAGCCGCGGUAAUACGGAGGAUGCGAGCGUUAUCCGGAUUUAUUGGGUUUAAAGGGUGCGCAGGCGGUCUGUUAAGUCAGCGGUCAAAGCCCGGGGCUCAACCCCGGCCCGCCGUUGAAACUGGCAGUCUCGAGUUGGAGAGAAGUAUGCGGAAUGCGCGGUGUAGCGGUGAAAUGCAUAGAUAUCGCGCAGAACUCCGAUUGCGAAGGCAGCAUGCCGGCUCCACACUGACGCUGAGGCACGAAAGCGUGGGUAUCGAACAGG